rnacentral:rRNA from 1 species
GACGAACGCUGGCGGCGUGCUUAACACAUGCAAGUCGAGCGGUAAGGCCCUUUCGGGGGUACGACGAGCGGCGAACGGGUGAGUAACACGUGGGUGACCUGCCCUCAGCUCUGGGAUAAGCCUGGGAAACCGGGUCUAAUACCGGAUAUGACUCCAUGACGCAUGUUGUGGGGUGGAAAGCCUUGUGCGGCUGAGGAUGGGCCCGCGGCCUAUCAGCUUGUUGGUGGGGUGAUGGCCUACCAAGGCGACGACGGGUAGCCGGCCUGAGAGGGCGACCGGCCACACUGGGACUGAGACACGGCCCAGACUCCUACGGGAGGCAGCAGUGGGGAAUCUUGCGCAAUGGGCGAAAGCCUGACGCAGCGACGCCGCGUGAGGGAUGACGGCCUGGUUGUAA